CCUACGGGUGGCAGCAGUAGGGAAUCUUCCACAAUGGGCGAAAGCCUGAUGGAGCAACGCCGCGUGGGUGAAGAAGGUCUUCGGAUCGUACAACCCUGUUGUUAGAGAAAAAAGUGCGUGAGAGUAACUGUUAACGUUUCGACGGUAUCUAACCAGAAAGCAACGGCUAACUACGUGCCAGCAGCCGCGGUAAUACGGAGGAGGCAAGCGUUAUCCGGAUUUAUUGGGCGUAAAGGGAACGCAGGCGGUCUGUUAAGUCUGAUGUGAAAGCCUUGGGCUAAACCGGCGUAUUGCAUUGGAAACUGGUAGACUUGAGUGCGGGAGAGGAGAGUGGAACUCCAGGUGUAGCGGUGAAAUGCGUAGAUAUAUGGAGGAACACCAGUUGCGAAGGCGGCUCUCUGGUCUGUAACUGACGCUGAGGUUCGAAAGCGUGGGUAGCAAACAGGAUUAGAUACCCUUGUAGUC
rnacentral:rRNA from 1 species